AUUGAACGCUGGCGGCAGGCCUAACACAUGCAAGUCGAGCGAGCGGCGGACGGGUGAGUAAUGUAUGGGGACUGCCCGAUAGAGGGGGAUAACUACUGGAAACGGUAGCUAAUACCGCAUACUAUCGGAUAACCCAUAUGGGAUUAGCUAGUAGGGGAGGUAAUGGCUCACAUAGGCGACGAUCCCUAGCUGGUCUGAGAGGAUGAUCAGCACAGUUGGGACGGAGAAACGGCCCAAACUCCUACGGAGGAAGCAGUGGGGAAUAUUGGAAAAUGGGCGAAAGCCGGAGGAGGCAAUGCCGGGUGUAUGAAGAAGGCUCUAGGGUUGUAAAGUACUUUCAGUCGGGAGGCGUUACCGACAGAAGAAGCACCGGCUAACUCCGUGCCAGCAGCCGCGGUAAUUC
rnacentral:rRNA from 1 species